UACGUAGGUGGCAAGCGUUGUCCGGAUUUACUGGGCGUAAAGGGCGUGCAGGCGGUCUGUUAAGUCUAGGGUGAAAGCUCCCGGCUCAACUGGGAGAGGUCCUUGGAUACUGGCGGACUUGAGGGAGGUAGAGGGUAGUGGAAUUCCCGGUGUAGCAGUGAAAUGCGUAGAGAUCGGGAGGAACAUCUGUGGCGAAGGCGACUGCCUGGACCAGCACUGACACUGAGGCACGAAAGCGUGGGGAGCAAACAGG
rnacentral:rRNA from 1 species